rfam:Homo sapiens chromosome 14, GRCh38 reference primary assembly.
GCCGGGCGUGGUGGCUCACGCCUGUAAUCCCAGCACUUUGGGAGGCUGAGGUGGGCGGAUCACCUGAGGUCAGGAGUUUGAGACCAGUCUGACCAACAUGGAGAAACCCCAUCUCUA